AUGGUGGCGGGGUUUCUGCUGGAGAGUGAGGUGUCCGACCUCUGCAUCGGCAAGCCGCCGAUCAGGUGGCUGCCGCCCUCGUCCACCGUGGCCAGCGCCGUCGACGAGCUCGAGGCCGACGGGGGGCCGUGCGGCGCCGUCGCCGUGUGGGACGGCGAGGCGGGGGCGGCCGUGGCGGGCAGGGUGCGCAUGGCCGACGUGCUAUUCUUCCUCUGCGCCGACGAAGGCAACAACCUACAGGCCACGCUCGCCGACCUCCUGGCCGCAGCCGGGGCGCCGCCCGUCCGCCGCGUGGAGCCCGAUGCGAGCGUGCUGGAAGCGGUGGACGCGCUGCUGGGCGGCGCGCAGAGCCUCGUGGUGCCCAUCCGCGACAACCGGCGCCCGGAAACGGCGCAGCUAGAAGCAGAGUCGAUGUGCUGGGUCACGGUGGAGGACGUGGCGCGCUUCUUCCUCGGCUCCGUCGCGCUCUUCUCGCAGAUCGCCUUGCGCUCCGUCUCCGACCUCGGCGCCGUCCGCCCGGCCCGCAGCGUGCUCGCCGUUGCGCCCGGAGACGACACGCUCUCCGCCACCGAGCCGCUCCUUCGCGCGGCCCUGGCGACGCACGCCUCCGUCGCCGUGGUGUCCGGACGCUGCCUCGUCGGCGAGAUCUCGCCGUUGACGCUCUGCUCCUCCCUCGACGCGCCCAUGUCCUUGAUCGACUCUGCCCGCGCCCCGCGAGAAGCCGCCCUCGGGCCCCGCCUCCGCAGCCGCAACCUGCACGGCGUGCUCGACCUCCUCAACGCCGGCGGCCGCGACCUGCCGUCCCCGUCCUCUUCCUCUUCAUCCUCCUCGUCGUGCGCCUCCUCCUCUUCCUCCUCGUCCGACGGCGAGGACGAGGACGAGAAGAACGUCACCUCAGCUUUCACGAGCACGAGUCAACAAGCCAGGUUCUCGGCGCGGUGGAGGAAGGGUAUCAUCGCGUGCCGGCGGGGCAGCUCGCUGGUGGCGGUGAUGGCGCAGGCGGUCGCGCACCGCGUGACGCAGGUGUGGGUGCUGGACGACGGGCCGGAGGGGGAGGAGCUGGUGGGCGUCGUCGGUCUCCUGGACGUGCUCCGGGUGCUCCGCCGCCACCUCCUACGCGCACCGCCCGCGCACACUAUGGCCGAGUAA
rnacentral:rRNA from 1 species